CGUUUCCGAGUGCACCUACGAGAAUUGAACCACGCCUAUCCCCCUACUCUUGUUCGCGCGACCGGCCACCUCGUGCUGUUUUUACCGGCAAGGUAACCGAUGACGAGACAGAGAAAGAGAAUCGUGGUGGAUUCGCUCGGCGGAAGAGAAGAACGAGACAGAGAGGGAAGUCUCUUUUACUGGUUUCUCUACUCGGGCCUGCCCACGCGCCGAGGAUGCGUGCUUGCGCGCGCAAAAGCUCGUUGAUAAGGAACACGUUGCGUUGGAUGCUGAGAAUCCUAAGACUCGACGGGGAUCGAUGCCUUCCAGACGAUUUGCUCGUUCUUCUUUCCUUCUUCUUGCUGCGACGACUUUGGCGAAAACCUGAACGCAUACAUUGAACUUUCUUGACGGCGUGAAACGAACGUUCUUGUGGCGGUACGAGCAUAGACACGUGAGGAUUCGUGUGGUAUCCUGCCGAAAAAGUGUGUAACUCGAUCCGGCAAAAAGAGCUGUCGUCGACUAUCCAUUGCCUCAUAAACCGAGACCAAACGAUAUCUCGCGAUUGAUCGCGACGUCUUCAGUAUCCAAACGAUGCGCAUCCUGUAAUAUUGUCUGAAAGAAAGAUACAACAAGGACCACAGGCAUGGAGAAGCGGUACGACGGUUUAAGGUGUACGAAAGCAAGAUGAAAAUCACGAGAGGCCGGUACAAAUGUGUGCACGCAUGUAUGCAUACGUAAAAUGUACGUUCGUAAAGCACAGUGGUUUAUGAAUACACGAAUUUACUGCUUAAUCAACCGAGGCGCUGAGGCAGCGCAAUUAAAACGCCAUUAAGCGGCCACAUAAAAAUUCUCGGUAAAAUUCGGUGAUAUCGGGUUACUGAAUUCCUCCUUCCAGGCUUCGGGGUUACGAUCUAUAGGAUGCACGGGUUUAUAGUCACCUGGAUCGUGUUAUAGUCAGCCGAGAAUUCUCGAAAUUGUAUAUGGGACACUUUCAGGUCCUCUCGUUUGGUUUCCUUGUUUGAAAUUUUCCUUGAUACACGCGACAGAAAUUUAUUAUUCUGUUAUUUAGUUACAUCAAUUAAAUCGGUUAAUUAAUUGUAUUAUACGUACGUAUGCAUAAUUUCUUACAACUGUACAUUUAGAUUAACGUAAGCAACUUUCUUGCUUCUACCACAAGCUGUCCCUAAACGUGUAAAUUGCAGUCUCGCAGGGAAAAAAAAAAGAAACGCGUAUAAGAACAGGUCGUAAUGUUUGAUUUUGCGAUUACGUAUUCUACAUAUAUUAAAGAAUAAUUGAAAUUUUAUUCCUUGCAGA